CUCUAGGGAAAGUGUAACUGUAAAAUAGUCCAAAGACAAAACUAAUAUAAUAUCUAUCUCUUCUUCUACCCUCGGCAGUGGUUUGACUGAAAUUCAGCAUGAAUGGGGCUGGUGUGUGCUCUCUCAUUUCCUUCUCUUUUGUUUCUGCUAUGUUGGGGUGGGAGAGGAGGAAGAAUACUGGCCAACGUCAAAUACUAAUCUGAGAGUCUGAGUGUCAUGGCUCACACCUGUAAUUCCAGCACUUCGAGAGGCUGAGGCAGGUAGAUCACUUGAGGCCAGGAGUUCGAGACGAGCCUAGCUCCAUCUCUAUUAAAAAUACAAAAGUUAGCUGGGCGUGGUGGUGCACACCUGUAAUCCCAGCUACUCCAGAGGCUGAGGCAUGAGAAUCACCUGAAACUGGGAGGCAGAGGUUUCAGUGAGCCGAGAUUGCACCACUCACUCCAGUCUUGGAACAGAACGAGAGUGUCUCAAAACAAAAAACAAAAACAAAAACAAAAACAAAACAAAACAAAAAAACAAAUACUAAUCUGAGAGAUUUUGUAGUUUGCCGUAGGCUGUAGUUACUUCCUGGGGUGAGACUUACUGGACUUUGAGGUCCAGUCCAACUUGCUUUGUUGGGUCCUAGUGUGUUCUUUCUGGAAUCUUUGCAUGGCCAGGAUAGUAAAUCUUCACGACACAAGUUCCUCAAGUGGGAAAUCCCCUCUGGUUAGACAUCUUUAAAUGAUGGUGAGGGGCUGGAGGAACAGGGCAGUUUAAAUACCUCUGAAUAAGCCUUGCCAAGGUUUUUGGGUCCCCAAGUGUUUACCACACUCUGUAGUUUCGAGAAUAUUUGAAAUUUCUCUGCCUUCCACUUUCAUUUCAGAGCAGCAGGAAAUGUACCUGAAUAUUCUCUUAGCAGCCGUGACUGGAUGCCAAAUGGGACAAAGAAGAGUCUCCCUCUGUCGGCCAGUCUGGAACACAGUGGCGCUAUCUCAGCUCACUGCAAGCUCUGCCUCCCGGGUUCACGCCAUUCUCCUGCCUCAGUCUCCCAAGUAGCUGGGACUACAGGUGCCCGAGAAAUGAACUCUUAAUGGUUUAAAAGCAGAAAAGGUAUUGGUGUAGAAAAUCUCAACAUUUUAUUCUUGAGGUUAAGUAAAGAAUUUUAUUUU
rnacentral:lncRNA from 1 species